AACGAACGCUGGCGGCAUGCCUAACACAUGCAAGUCGAACGAGUGCCUUCGGGUGCUAGUGGCGCACGGGUGCGUAACGCGUGGGAAUCUGCCCUUUGGUUCGGAAUAACAGUUGGAAAUGACUGCUAAUACCGGAUGAUGACGAAAGUCCAAAGAUUUAUCGCCAGAGGAUGAGCCCGCGUAGGAUUAGCUAGUUGGUG
rnacentral:rRNA from 1 species